CAAUGAAAAAAAAAAAAAAAAAAAAAAAAAAAAAAAAAAGAAGAAGAAAAGAGAAGUUUUGGAAAGGAGAAAAAGUCUUUAGAACACUUUUUGACUCCCUCGUAAAAGAUAGCAAAAAUACUGCUGAGAAAAUACCAGAUGACACUGUAGACCGGAGUCUUUUCAUUAUGGAUGGCAUAGACCCCACCCCUAAGAGCAAUAAAUCAAUAAAGACCGGCCUAACUUUUGUAUUGUGCAUAUUUAUUUUGAAUUUAUGAAAAUACGAUGUAAUAACCAAAGAACUACUAUAUAUGUAUAUAUUCAUAUAAUGAAAUAUAGCCAUGCGCUAUUCCUGGGAAA